rnacentral:rRNA from 1 species
GAUGAACGCUGGCGGCGUGCCUAAUACAUGCAAGUCGAGCGAACAGACGAGGAGCUUGCUCCUCUGACGUUAGCGGCGGACGGGUGAGUAACACGUGGAUAACCUACCUAUAAGACUGGGAUAACUUCGGGAAACCGGAGCUAAUACCGGAUAAUAUAUUGAACCGCAUGGUUCAAUAGUGAAAGACGGUUUUGCUGUCACUUAUAGAUGGAUCCGCGCUGCAUUAGCUAGUUGGUAAGGUAACGGCUUACCAAGGCAACGAUGCGUAGCCGACCUGAGAGGGUGAUCGGCCACACUGGAACUGAGACACGGUCCAGACUCCUACGGGAGGCAGCAGUAGGGAAUCUUCCGCAAUGGGCGAAAGCCUGACGGAGCAACGCCGCGUGAGUGAUGAAGGUCUUCGGAUCGUAAAACUCUAUUAUUAGGGAAGAACAAAUGUGUAAGUAACUAUGCACGUCUUGACGGUACCUAAUCAGAAAGCCACGGCUAACUACGUG